rnacentral:rRNA from 1 species
UACGUAGGUCCCGAGCGUUGUCCGGAUUCAUUGGGCGUAAAGCGAGCGCAGGUGGUUUAUUAAGUCUGGUGUAAAAGGCAGUGGCUCAACCAUUGUAUGCAUUGGAAACUGGUAGACUUGAGUGCAGGAGAGGAGAGUGGAAUUCCAUGUGUAGCGGUGAAAUGCGUAGAUAUAUGGAGGAACACCGGUGGCGAAAGCGGCUCUCUGACCUGUAACUGACACUGAGGCUCGAAAGCGUGGGGAGCAAACAGG